ACACGACCGUACCGCAAACCGACACUGGUGCGCGAGAUGAGUAUUCUCAGGCGCUUGAGAGAACUCGGGAGAAGGAACUCGGCAAAUUGACACCGUAACUUCGGAAGAAGGUGUGCCUUUAGUAGGUGAAGUCCCUCGCGGAUGGAGCCCAAUGAGGUUGCAAAGAAUCGGUGGCUGCGACUGUUUAAUAAAAACACAGCACUCUGCAAACACGAAAGUGGACGUAUAGGGUGUGACGCCUGCCCGGUGCUGGAAGAUUAAGUGAUGGGGUGCAAGCUCUUGAUCGAAGUCCCAGUAAACGGCGGCCGUAACAAUAACGGUCCUAAGGUAGCGAAAUUCCUUGUCGGGUAAGUUCCGACCUGCACGAAUGGCGUAACGAUGGCCACACUGUCUCCUCCCGAGACUCAGCGAAGUUGAAAUGUUUGUGGUGAUGCAAUCUCCCCGCGGAAAGACGGAAAGACCCCAUGAACCUUUACUGUAGCUUUGUAUUGGACUUUGAACGGAUCUGUGUAGGAUAGGUGGGAGGCUUUGAAGCCGGGUCGCUAGAUCUGGUGGAGCCAACGUUGAAAUACCACCCUGGUGCGUUUGAGGUUCUAACCUAGGCCCGUUAUCCGGGCCGGGGACAGUGCAUGGUAGGCAGUUUGACUGGGGCGGUCUCCUCCCAAAGCGUAACGGAGGAGUUCGAAGGUACGCUAGUUACGGUCGGACAUCGUGACGAUAGUGCAAUGGCAUAAGCGUGCUUAACUGCGAGACUGACAAGUCGAGCAGAUGCGAAAGCAGGACAUAGUGAUCCGGUGGUUCUGUAUGGAAGGGCCAUCGCUCAACGGAUAAAAGGUACUCUGGGGAUAACAGGCUGAUACCGCCCAAGAGUUCAUAUCGACGGCGGUGUUUGGCACCUCGAUGUCGGCUCAUCUCAUCCUGGGGCUGUAGCCGGUCCCAAGGGUAUGGCUGUUCGCCAUUUAAAGAGGUACGUGAGCUGGGUUUAAAACGUCGUGAGACAGUUUGGUCCCUAUCUUCCGUGGGCGCUGCAGAUUUGAGGAAGCCUGCUCCUAGUACGAGAGGACCGGAGUGGACGCACCUCUGGUGUACCUGUUGUCACGCCAGUGGCAUUGCAGGGUAGCUAAGUGCGGAAGAGAUAACCGCUGAAAGCAUCUAAGCGGGAAACUCGUUUCAAGAUGAGAUCUGCCGGGGCCUUGAGCCCCCUGAAGAGUCGUUCUAGACCAGGACGUUGAUAGGUCAGGUGUGGAAGCGCAGUAAUGCGUUAAGCUAACUGAUACUAAUUGCUCGUGCGGCUUGAGCAA
rnacentral:rRNA from 1 species